CCAUCAUUCAGUUGGGCACUCUAGCGAGACUGCCGGUAAUAAACCCGGAGGAAGUGGGAUGACGUCAAAUCAUCAUGCCCCUUAUGACCUGGGCUACACACGUGCUACAAUGGUUGGUACAACGAGUUGCGAGUCGGUGACGGCGAGCUAAUCUCUUAAAGCCAAUCUCAGUUCGGAUUGUAGGCUGCAACUCGCCUACAUGAAGUCGGAAUCGCUAGUAAUCGCGGAUCAGCACGCCGCGGUGAAUACGUUCCCGGGCCUU
rnacentral:rRNA from 1 species